rnacentral:rRNA from 1 species
AGCGAACGCUAGCGGCAGGCUUAACUCAUGCAAGUCGAGCGCCAGGUUUCGGCCUGGAGCGGCGAACGGGUGAGUAGCACGUAGGUCACGUACCCUAUGGUGGGGAAUACCCCGGGGAAACUCGGAUCAAUGCCCCAUAUGUCCGAAAGGAUGAAAGCGCUUCGGCGCGCCAGAGGAUCGGCCUGCGGCCCAUUAUUUAAUCCUAGUUGGUGAGGUAACGGCUCACCAAGGGUACGAUGGGUAGCUGGUCUGAGAGGACGAUCAGCCACACUGGAGCUGAGACACGGUCCAGACUCCUACGGGAGGCAGCAGUGGGGAAUAUUGGACAAGGGGCGAAAGCCUGAUCCAGCCAUGCCGCGUGAGUGAUGAAGGCCUUCGGGUUGUAAAGCUCUGUCGUGGGGGAAGAAGUUCUGACGGUACCCCACAAGAAAGCACCGGCUAACUCCGUGCCAGCCGCCGCAGUAA